UCGGAUGUGGUGCAGGGUGCACGGCGAAACAUUGUAUGUCUUUAGGGACGGGUUAUAUUCGUAGGACGGGGUUCGACUCCCCGUGUCCGAA